AAAAAAAAAAAAAAUCUAAUUUCUUGGGAUUCUUGGCAAAAGUGACUUUUGGGAGGUGCCUGGCGUCACGACUCAUGAUGAACGUGGCCCCAGAUCUACAGCUGGGGCUAUUCCCCAGCCCCGUCCCAAGUGUACUUAGCUCGGGAAGUGCUGGGGCUGAGAUUUGGGAUUCACGUUUACAACCAAGUCACCCAUUCUUGUCCGCCGUUGGAGGAGGUAUAAACUGGUACAGGAUCCCCCGAGAGCAGCGUAAGUGUCCCCAGGUCCCCCUGCCAGGAAGUCAUCCUAGAGAAGAGUGUACGGACGGUGCACUGCUGGGCUGCAGGGAAGAACCAAGGACGGGAAGCCAGCUUGGAGCCCAUCAGCAGGUGACCGGCCGAGUGCCCUCCGAGCCCGGGGUCCUGAUGUGCAGCAGGAGCAGCAUCAGGAGACCAGGAGACAGAUGGGGUGACACUGCCUUCCUUUUUGCCGCCUGAUCGUCGAGAACACACACGUGUAUCGGCUAUCAUAUGAACUAAACGAUUCCUAAUAGAAGAACAUAAGGUCCGGCGGAGUGACAGCCACCAAAGCCAGCCACAGCCAGGGUGACCAGUGCUCUGGGCCAAAAGGAUCCCCGCAAACCAGCCACCCGGGGACCGUGCCGGGGUGCCUAGGACGUUGACUCUGCACGAUCAGCAGUCAGUGGGAGGGCAUCCGGGCCUGCUUCCCGCUCGCCGUGGUGCCCCCACCGGGGUCCUGCUGACGAACAGGUGGGGGCCCCACGGAGAAGAGCAAGCAGAGUGAGGCCUGGAACAUCCCUCGGGGUCCUGGCCCCGCUGCCCCAGGCGCCACGUGGAGGGGGGUCCACGGGAGGGGUGCGGCCCAGGGAGACACGCAGAGGGAAGGUGGUGAGCUCCCAGGAGAGACCCUGGACCAAGACCUAGCCCGGGAGGGGCUCAGGAAGAUGGGAGAAAGCCAGUCCCGCUGUUCUUACUAAAUUAACUGCCACAGAUUUGGCAUCUAGUGUGA